AUUGAACGCUGGCGGCAGGCCUAACACAUGCAAGUCGAACGGUAACAGGAAGCAGCUUGCUGCUUUGCUGACGAGUGGCGGACGGGUGAGUAAUGUCUGGGAAACUGCCCGAUGGAGGGGGAUAACUACUGGAAACGGUAGCUAAUACCGCAUAACGUCGCAAGACCAAAGAGGGGGACUUUAGGGCCUCUUGCCAUCGGAUGUGCCCAGAUGGGAUUAGCUAGUAGGUGGGGUAACGGCUCACCUAGGCGACGAUCCCUAGCUGGUCUGAGAGGAUGACCAGCCACACUGGAACUGAGACACGGUCCAGACUCCUACGGGAGGCAGCAGUGGGGAAUAUUGCACAAUGGGCGCAAGCCUGAUGCAGCCAUGCCGCGUGUAUGAUGAAGGCCUUCGGGUUGUAAAGUACUUUCAGCGGGGAGGAAGGGAGUAAAGUUAAUACCUUUGCUCAUUGACGUUACCCGCAGAAGAAGCACCGGCUAACUCCGUG
rnacentral:rRNA from 1 species